UUUCUUAAUGCAUUUUCAUCUUUUCCAAGUCAUAGUCCUUUCAUUUCCAAACCUUAAAUCAGAAACUCGCAUCAUUGAUAUACUAAUAGUUAGACGGCCAAGACCUCAUACUCUCCCUCUCAAUGUUAAAAACUAUGAAAAUGAACUAUUGAUGGUAAAAACUAGAUCAAAUGAUUUUAUAGAUAAACAAUUACAAUCAAAGAUCAAUGUUAAUUGAUAAGUGUAUUUU
rnacentral:lncRNA from 1 species